GGCCGCAGGGCGGCGGCGAUGGCGAGGACGCGGCGGAGCGGGGCCAUUCUGCCCCCGGGCCGGGCUGUCCCGGCCGCCAGGAACGGCUCGGGUCGGCUCGGGUCAUGCGCUGGCCGCGGCGGGAGGGCCCGCAGUGCUGGCAUUCCCCUGCGGGCAGGGCGCUGAGGGGACCGGCGGAGGGGCCGCAGGGCCGGGUCUGGCAGCGCACACGGCUUGGAUGCGGGGCCGUGGGCUCGCUUAGCGACCGGCAGGACGUUCUCUCUUGCUGCAGACAGAAGAUGGAGAGGGUUUUCGCUUUUCCGCGGUCUGCAGAAUGAAAUCGGUCGUGUCAGUUUCCCCAUACCUUUGGAUCUAAGGAAAUCGACAAGCUCCGGAUGGUAUUUGAUCAUCUGUUCUCGGCGCUUGCAUUCCUGCUCCGAAAUGGCCAUUGCUAUCCAAGCUAUAGUCCUGUCCAAGGAGACAAACCUGUCGGUCUACCUCAGCUUUUCCAUAAGGCCAUUCGUUUCCAAAUGGAGUUGUAGCCUACACGUCUCAGAAAGCCCUCAUCCGUAGUCCUGAAUUUGAAAUCCAGAUAUUCCAACCAUACAUAGAUAUCCCAAGUCAUAUAUCACAAACAAAUUGAUAUUUGGUUGAAGAUUUCACAGAGUAACCUAGAAAAUCAGUGUAUCUUACAUUUCUUCAUAAAUCUCUGUCCAUCACAGUGGCAACAAGUGUGACAAGUAACAUUUUAAAUGUGUCAGUCUGGUUCAAGCAAUGAUUUUACUAAAUAACUUCUGAGCUGAUCGACUACUUCAUAAAUAUUUGCUUUUAUCUGUAUAUGCCCGUAUAAAACAAGUAAGAAGCAAAUUGCAGAGUGGCACCCAUUCUGACUCUCGUUUUGGUGAAGCACAGCAAAUUGAUGGAUGUGCUAAGGAAUUCUGGCUUUUCUUUUAUGUGCAACGAUAUCCAGGGCUAGAAAACUCAGACCUUCACAAUAUGCAGAUACCAAUUUAUGCCAAAUUCCAGAAUAACUUGGGUUGGAAAAUCCCUCCAAGACCACCAAAUCCAAGCUGUGCCCAACCCCCACCUUGUCCCUAGCCCAGAGCUCUGAGUGCCACCUCCAGGAAUUCCUGGGACAUCCCCAGGAUGGGCACUCCAAACCUCCCUGGGCAGUUCCCGUUCCUGAGCCCCCUUUCCAUGGGGAAAUUCCUGCUGUGUCCACCCUGAGCUGCCCUGGCCCAGCCUGGGGCCGUUCCCUCUGCUCCUGUCCCUGUUCCCGGGAGCACAGCCCGACCCCCCGGCUGUCCCCUCCUGGCAGGAGCUGUGCAGAGCCACAAGGGCCCCCCGAGCCUCCUCUGCUCCAGGCUGAGCCCCUUCCCAGCUCCCUCAGCCCCUCACAGGACACUCCGGACCCUUCCCAGCUUUGUGGAUAUGCUCCGGCAUGAAAGCUGUAUCUCUUUGGCACCUUGUGCCCACAGCGUUCAGGUGCCCAGCCCUGGAGAGGACACCGGCAUGCUCGGGGCUGCUCAGCCUGGUUUGCUGGACCCUUUGAUGCCUGAUCCGCGUGGGAGCAGCAGCAGCGGUGAGGGGCCCAUGUGGCCUCAGUGUCUGCGUGAGGAGAGGGACGGGAGCUGGGCAGAGGGGACAGCCGGGCAGUGCCACACGGCAGUGGUGACAACCUGGCAGUGUCACACGGCAGCGGGGACAGCCGGGCAGCAGGGACAGCCUGGCAGUGCCACACGGCAGUGGUGACAACCUGGCAGUGCCACACGGCAGCGGGGACAGCCGGGCAGAGGGAUUCGGCUGGGACAGACCUGCCAGGGGGCAGGUGAGCGGAGGUGAGAGCGACAAGGAGAUGCGACAUCACAGACCGAGCUAGGACUCAACGCCGGGCCGGGGGUCAGAGAGCCUCGUCAGGCCCGUGGUACCUCAGCAGAUGCAGCAUCCCUGAGUCUGGAAUCGCUUUCACCUCCACUUGCAGGGCUGCAGAACGCAUUUCAGUGCCCAUCACUGCAUUAGCCAGGCGCCACCAUAAGAUUAAGAAGCUCUGCAGUGACAUUCUCAGCAUGGUCUGCUCAAAGGUCAUUAGCAGAGCCUUUCAUUCUGGAGAAGCCCAGAGGAGGGCACGGAAGUGAGCCACAGAAGGAGAGGAAAAGGAGAAGGAGAAGGAGAAGGAAAGGAGAAGGAGAAGGAGAAGGAGAAGGAGAAGGAGAAGGAGAAGGAGAAGGAGAAGGAGAAGGAGAAGGAGAAGGAGAAGGAGAAGGAGAAGGAGAAGGAGAAGGAGAAGGAGAAGGAGAAGGAGAAGGAGAAGGAGAAGGAGGAGAAGGAGAAGGAGAAGGAGAGGAGAAGGAGAAGGAAAAGAAAGGAAAAGGAAAAGGAAAAGGAAAAGGAAAAGGAAAAGGAAAAGGAAAAGGAAAAGGAAAAGGAAAAGGAAAAGGAAAAGGAAAAGGAAAAGGAAAAGGAAAAGGAAAAGGGGUGCUGCAGGGCCUGGUGGCAGUGGCCUUUGUGCUGCUGCAGGGGCUGUCACACUUGUUGUGUGCUCCUGUCCCCUCGGAUUUGGCUCACGUGGCCCCGGCACUGCUGGCCCUGAGCUCCUCUCAGAUGCCAUUCCCAUGCUGGGCAUGGUUAUGGUUUAUGGUUUUUGGAUGCUCCAGCCUCAGAGCAGGGUAUUUCUCUCAAAAAUCCCAAGCUGAGAUCAAGCACUGCAACUCAGGAGCCACCUUCUCUGAGAGAACACACUCGUUACAUUUCAUUUUCCUCCUGGCUCUCUGUGUUUGAAGAAGCCAGGAAGGAAGGGUUUCAAUGUACACAAAGCCACACAGAACCCCUGGAAUCAGGAGAGAGGAGUUUGCCCCAGGACUCCCAGUGCUGCUCCCACUGCAGCUGUGGUGUCUCUGGGGACAGCCUGGCCCUCGUCACCUGGGGAGGUGGCACUGCCCGUCCCCUGCUGCUCUGCUCCAAGCAGCUGCUGAUAUUUACCUGGCUUUUGCCACUGGUGCCGUGGCCACUGCUGAAGGGAAAUUCCCCUCUCUGGUGUCACUCAGGCAGGAAUUCUGUCCCAAAGCAUCGCGCCCAGGUGGGGAGGGAAGGCGGCGGGGGAGGCUCGGGGGGUUUGGUGGUUUGGAGACCUGAGUCCUGUCACUGUCAUUUCUAGGCACCACCAGCGAGCUGCUCACCACAGCCUUAAUAACUGCUGUUGCAAUCCGCUGGCAAAGCCACGGUAUUUAUAGCAAACAAACAAGUCUGGCUGCGGGUGGGGCUGGGCACCGGAGCCUCCCGCCCCGCCUGGCCGGGGCUCGCUCCUCCGGAGGGGGCUGCACGGGGGGCAGAGCCGGGGCUGCUGCCUGAGCCAGCCCCUCUCCUCCUCAGCUCCCAGGGGAUUUGUUCUGCAAAUUGUAUGAAACUGGGAGACCUAACUAAACCUCUGACUAAAUACCUUCAGCUCUGGGAAGGUGCUUUGAUAGCUAUGGAAUGUGUGAUACAGGAAUCCCAAAAACAAGGGCCAACAGGACAGGGCAAGGUGAAAACCAGAUGUAGAUCUCAGUCUUUCUUAAUUUUUAAUUAGCUGGAAAUUAUUAUUGGAAUUUAUUAUUAUUUAUUGUUAUUAUAUGAAUAAUUUUCAUACCAAAUGUAUUUUGGGGGGAAAAUUCAUAAUAAAUGAGAAUUAAAUUUGGCACUACUUUGUGAAAUUGUGGCACCCAGUUGGAAGGUUUGGAAUUAAAUAUGUCCUUGUUGUAAA